CGCCAGACUCCUACGGGAGGCAGCAGUGGGGAAUAUUGGGCAAUGGGCGCAAGCCUGACCCAGCAACGCCGCGUGAAGGAAGAAGGCUUUCGGGUUGUAAACUUCUUUUCUCAGGGACGAAGAAAGUGACGGUACCUGAGGAAUAAGCCACGGCUAACUACGUGCCAGCAGCCGCGGUAAUACGUAGGUGGCAAGCGUUAUCCGGAUUUACUGGGUGUAAAGGGCGUGUAGGCGGGAUUGCAAGUCAGAUGUGAAAUUCCAGGGCUCAACCCUGGAACUGCAUUUGAAACUGUAGUUCUUGAGUGGUGGAGAGGCAGGCGGAAUUCCGUGUGUAGCGGUGAAAUGCGUAGAUAUACGGAGGAACACCAGUGGCGAAGGCGGCCUGCUGGACAUUAACUGACGCUGAGGCGCGAAAGCGUGGGGAGCGAACAGGAUUAGAUACCCUAGUAGAA
rnacentral:rRNA from 1 species